rnacentral:rRNA from 1 species
AGGUUGGCUCAGAAGCAGCCAUCCUUUAAAGAGUGCGUAACAGCUCACUAGUCGAAUGACUCUGCGCCGAUAAUUUACCGGGGCUAAGCAUACUACCGAAGCUAUGGAUCCCAAGGGAUGGUAGGGGAGCGUUCCAUGAACGGAGAAGUACGACCGAAAGGACGUGUGGAGAUCAUGGAAGAGAGAAUGCCGGUGUGAGUAGCGGAACGUGGGUGAGAAUCCCACGCACCGAAAACCCAAGGUUUCCAGAGGAAGGUUCGUCCGCUCUGGGUAAGUCGGGACCUAAGGCGAGGCCGAAAGGCGUAGUCGAUGGACAACAGGUAGAGAUUCCUGUACCCGUAUAUAUGUGAAGGAAUGACGGAGAGAGGAAGCUGCAGCCAGCGGCUGGAAGAGCUGGUGCAAGCGAGAUAUCGGGAUGGCAGGCAAAUCCACCAUCCGAAACGAGAAGGCGUGAAGCGUACGGAAAGCUACGGCGAGUACGGAAGGCAGUGGAGGAACUUCCAAGAAAAGUUUCUAACGUUAAGUAUAUAUGGCCCGUACCGAAAAUGGACACACAUGGGUGAGGAGAGAAUCCUAAGGUGAGCGAGAGAACUAUAGCUAAGGAACUCUGCAAAAUGACUCCGUAACUUAGGGAGAAGGAGUGCUCAUAGAGAUAUGAGCCGCAGUGAAACGGCCCAAGCGACUGUUUACCAAAAACACAGCUCUCUGCUAAGCCGCAAGGCGAAGUAUAGGGGGUGACGCCUGCCCGGUGCUGGAAGGUUAAGGGGAGGGGUUAACGCAAGUGAAGCCCUGAACUGAAGCCCCAGUAAACGGCGGCCGUAACUAUAACGGUCCUAAGGUAGCGAAAUUCCUUGUCAGGUAAGUUCUGACCCGCACGAAAGGCGUAACGAUUUGGGCGCUGUCUCAGCUGUAGACUCGGUGAAGUCUUAGUACCUGUGAAGAUGCAGGUUACCCGCGACUAGACGGAAAGACCCCAUGGAGCUUCACUGCAGGUUGAUAUUGGGAUUUGAUGCAGCAUGUACAGGAUAGGUAGGAGGCAAAGAGAUGGAUACGCCAGUAUUCAAGGAGCCGCUGUUGGGAUACUACCCCUGUUGUAUUGGAUUUCUAACCGGACGACGUAGAGCCGUUGACGGGACAGUGUCAGUCGGGCAGUUUGACUGGGGCGGUCGCCUCCCAAAGAGUAACGGAGGCGCCCAAAGAUACCCUCAGCUUGGAUGGAAACCAAGCGCAGAGUGCAAAGGCAAAAGGGUGUUUGACUGCGAGACC